rnacentral:lncRNA from 1 species
UUGAAUUUAGAGGAUACUAGUUAUAAUUUUAUCACGUGCACGGUUAUAAGAUUUUUCUAAAGAAUGAGGAUUUUUUUUCUUUCAUGGUGAGAGGAUUACCUCCAAAACUUAAAAAGGUUCCUGUCCCUUUCUGGCUAAAUCUUCUGCUGGUCAAAUAGUUCAUUAGUUAAAAGAAUCACAACCCAAGUUCACUUUGGUUUUAACUUCAAGGGGGAAAUAGGGAAAACGUAGUUUUAACCUGACGUGAUCAGAUAAAUACUUAAAUUUUUCCACUUGUCAUUGUGAUUCUCAGUUCACUUCAUCUUUAGAAUGCUUAUACCAAUGGAUUAAAACCUGGCUUUGUCAUUUAUGCUGUUCGCAUCUUAAAUGAGCCCAGUGUAAGGGCAGGGGUUGGCACUAGUGUCAGUCUGACAUUCCAGAGGACCAGGCCAUGCCUAUAAAUGUCUCCAUGUUGGUGUCACAUUCAGGGCGCUAGUGAGCCAGCUAAGGUUCAGGCCCAUUCCUGACACAGCAACAAAUUCCUUUCUUUACAUGCCUCCAGUGGCAUUUCCUCAGGAAGCCUAGAAGUGUUCAGGCUGUGCAAUAAAGUGAUCGGAGUCAUGUUCUUUUGUCCUGUUUCCUAAAUGAACAAUAUUUUAAAGUAACUUGUCCUGGAAAAUAAAUAUAUCUAUAUCCAAAUCUCUAUCUAUCUAUCUACCUAUCUAUCAUCUAUCUACCUAUCUUCUAUCGUCUAUUAUAUAUCCUCUAUCUAUCUACCUAUCAUCUAUUAUCUACCUAUCAUCUAUUCUCCUAUCUAUCUAUCCAUCCAUCUCUCUAUCUAUCUUCUAUCUAUCUCUCUAUCUUCUAUCUAUCCAUCCAUCCCACUUGUGCCUCAACUGAGACCUAAAAACAGGUGCCUAAGUGAGUGCUCAGAGCCUGGGGUCCUGCACCUUGCCUGGGUGCUCUGGGUCUGCUCUGCAGACACGCUUCACUUCUGAAUGGGAUAGAGGCCGAAUGUUAGAAACAAGACAGUAAAUUCUCUCUGCAUAUCAAGGAGGGCCUCUCCUCCAGCCUCACAGCAGAUGGACAUGAGAUAGGCUUUCCUGGGGCAAAGGUGUUUCUCAUGAUCUAAUUCUGUUGUGUGAAAACUCCUGUGCUCAACGGGAGUAGUGACGGUGAUGAUAACUUCUGAAAUACCUAAAGCUAAAGUGAGAAGUCCGGACUCAUUCAUUCAACAGAUAAAUAUGUCAAUAAGAAGAAAAUUGAGAAUAAGUGACACUACUAAAAAAUACGAAUGGCUUAAAUUAAGGUGAGUAAAAAUCCAGGCUUGGGUUUUAAGCAUGACGUUGUAGACUCUGAUGUACUGUGUUCCAGCAGUGAUUCCUGGUGGUUGAAGGUCACCACAGGUGACAACUCCACACACGGGCAAGGAGGGAGCAGUGAAUUGUAAUGGUUAACAUGUGCGGUCUGGAGUCAUACCCUUCAUUUAACAGCCACCAGCCACCUGCUGGGCUGUGUGUGACCCUGAGCAGGCCAUUUGCCUCUUCACGCCCAGCACCCUGGCUGCUUCUUGGCUUCCGUGCCCUCCUCUUUAACAGCGUUGUUUAAUUAUUGAAAUACUUGGGGGAGUAUGAGUUUCAGUUCACGCAUUGGUCUUGUUAGUAGGAUCCUGGGCUUAGGUAUCUGUAAAAUGAGGAUAAAAAUACGUCGCAGGACUGCUCUGUGGGUGUAAGGAUGAUAAUGGUAACCCAGCAGUUAAAAGAGCUUAUUCAAUUCAAUCCUCAAAGAACUAAUCUACCUAUUUUACGGGUAUAAACAUGAAGGUAUAGAGAUACCAAGUGGUGCUCCUCUCACACAGUUAAACACUCAGUAAAUGUUAGCCUUAGGGACUUUCAUUAGGAAAAUAUUAUUUAGGGGGAAUUGCCAAAGAAGGAUAUAUUAAUUGCAAGGGCUGCCAUGGCAAUUACCACAGAAUGGGGCUUAAACAACAGAAAUGUAUUUUCUCAGUCCUGGAGGCUGAAAGUCCCAGACCAAGGUGUGGGCAGGGUUGGUGUCUCCCAAGGCCUCUCUCCUUGGUAUGCAGAUGUCAGUCUUUCUGCUUCUUCAUGUAGUCUUACCUCUGUGAGCAUCUGCAUCCUAACCUCUUCUUAUAAGGACCCCGGUCAUGCUGCACUAGGGCUCACCCCCAAAGACCUCAUUUUAACUUAAGUAUCUGUUUAAAGGUACUGUUUCCAAGUACAGUCACAUUCUGGGUUAUGAGAUAGUAUAUGAGUUUUGAGGUGACACAAUUCAGACCACCAAAAAGGACAAAUGAAAACCUUAUGAGAGUAAACCUAGUCCAGUCUAGGUGGCCUCAGUAAUAAAAAACCCACAGUCAGGUAUAGAGAGCUGUCUCCAGCCAGACCCUAGGCUCCAUGCUUCUAAAAGCACAUUGUGGAAAUGAACAACUGCUGAAGUUCCUUUCCCUCAAGGGAGGACUUGGAUCCCUCAAAACACUUUAACUAAUGGCAGCAACAACAAAACUCCCUUUGCCGUAUAUCUUUAUAUUUUAGUAACAAAGAGGUGCACAUCAUCAUGGAAUUUUUACAGCAAAGUGGAUAUGUCAUAAAGGAUUAUUUUCCCUCUACUAUCAAUACACCCAAGACAAAUUCAAUUGCCUUUCCCUGGUGUGGUGUUUUUGUUUUUGUUUUUGGAUAAAGAAGAGGUGGCUUGAAAAUAUCCCACCACUUUGGUAUUUAGUGCAGGGCAAUGGAGCCAUCACAAUAUUCAGUUUUGAAGGCAUUCCUGGUGCCUGAAGCAUGUUUACCCAAGAGGAGGGAAAGGAUGGUUUGAGCAACAAGACAGGUGGGCAGUCUUGAAAGUUUGUGGUCAGCAGGAAGCAGGCAAAAGGCUUCACCUGAUACUAUGUUUCCCUCACAGAAGUUCUUGUUUGGGAUUUGCUGUUGCUGGUUUGAAAUUCAUUGUUUACUGUUAUUCCUUCUUUGGACAUUACUCUUUUUACUUUUUUUGUAUGUAAAUAAAUUUCUCUUAUUUUACCUUUUUGGGACACUGCAAAUUGAUAAAGACUCUAGAAGAGAAUAGUCAGUUCAAAUCACCCUUCAUGCAAUAAGCAAAGAAACUUCCAGGGAGCACAUAGUUCCAUUUUCUGUUGAAAAUUCAUAAACAUGCUGAAUGUUAGUGACAAUUUUAAAAUGAUUGUUAAAAACAUGGCUAGUUUUAGAAUUAUGAAGGAGUAGGUUCUUAAUUUUUAUUUUUUAGCACAAUGAUAAACAUCCAUUUUGUACUUAUUAUUUUAUGGUCAUAUUCCUUUUUCUAAUAAUAUUAUUCCCUGAUUUUAUUUGCCAUUUUAGGACAUAAGCAAUAAGUAUCUGCUAUUUCAUUGUAUUCCUUUUCUUUGUCCCUUCUCUCAAUUUAUAACCAUGAACAUACUGUCUAUAUAACAACUCAAACUUUCAAAAAAAAAUCAAAAUAGACUAUACAAUGCUUUUGUGUGUUUCUUAGUAAAAGUUUGGAAGCUAUUUGUAAUGGAAAAGUGCCUGGGGUGUUGGAGGCAGGGAUUCAAUUCUUGCUCCCAUUCAAGAUUUCUCUUGACUGAGGUAAGAUCCCUCACCUCCCUCAGAUUUAGUGUCCUCCUCUAUAAAAGGAAAAAUGAAUAAAGCAUCUGGAAAGCACACACCAGACACUGCCAGCACUUCUCCAGGGGCCCAAGAAUGAAUCUACUCUGGCAAAGGGCAAAGUUUGUCUCUACUCUGUUCCUUCCAUUCCCUGCCUUCUCUUUGAAACACCUUAAGGGAUAAUUAUUAGGAGUAUCGUGGUAAAACCACUGCAAUAAUAAAAGCUAGUAUUUAUUUACUAUGUGCCUGGCACCAGGCUAAGUAAGUGCUUUACAUGAUAUUGCUUCUCUCCAUGUCACCACUGUUUCCCAGGGGAGCUUUUAUUAGCCCCACAUUGCUGAUAAGAGACCCAAAGGAAAAUAAAUUAUGGGAGUUACCCUUGUGGCUCAGUGGUAACAAAUCCAACUAGUAUCCAUGAGGAUGUGGGUUUGACCCCUGGCCUUGCUCAGUGGGUUAAGGAUCUGGUAUUGCCAUGAGCUGUGGUGUAGGUCUCAGAUGCAGUUUAGAUCCCAUGUUGCUGUAGCUGCAUAGGCCAGCAGGUACAGCUCUGAUUCAACUUCUAACCUGGGAACUUCUAUAUGCUGUGG